UUAAGCGACUAAGCGUACACGGUGGAUGCCCUGGCAGUCAGAGGCGAUUGAAGGGCGUGCUAAUCUGCGAUAAGCGCCGGUAAGGUGAUAUGAACCGUUAUAACCGGCGAUACCCGAAUGGGGAAACCCAGUGUGAUUCGUCACACUAUCAUUAACUGAAUCCAUAGGUUAAUGAGGCGAACCGGGGGAACUGAAACAUCUAAGUACCCCGAGGAAAAGAAAUCAACCGAGAUUCCCCCAGUAGCGGCGAGCGAACGGGGAGGAGCCCAGAGCCUGAAUCAGCAUGUGUGUUAGUGGAAGCGUCUGGAAAGGCGCGCGAUACAGGGUGACAGCCCCGUACACAAAAGCGCAUGUGCUGUGAGCUCGAUGAGUAGGGCGGGACACGUGGUAUCCUGUCUGAAUAUGGGGGGACCAUCCUCCAAGGCUAAAUACUCCUGACUGACCGAUAGUGAACCAGUACCGUGAGGGAAAGGCGAAAAGAACCCCGGCGAGGGGAGUGAAAAAGAACCUGAAACCGUGUACGUACAAGCAGUGGGAGCACCCUUUGGGUGUGACUGCGUACCUUUUGUAUAAUGGGUCAGCGACUUAUAUUCUGUAGCAAGGUUAACCGAAUAGGGGAGCCGGAGGGAAACCGAGUCUUAACGGGCGUUAAGUUGCAGGGUAUAGACCCGAAACCCGGUGAUCUAGCCAUGGGCAGGUUGAAGGUUGGGUAACACUAACUGGAGGACCGAACCGACUAAUGUUGAAAAAUUAGCGGAUGACCUGUGGCUGGGGGUGAAAGGCCAAUCAAACCGGGAGAUAGCUGGUUCUCCCCGAAAGCUAUUUAGGUAGCGCCUCGUGAAUUCAUCUCCGGGGGUAGAGCACUGUUUCGGCUAGGGGGCCAUCCCGGCUUACCAACCCGAUGCAAACUGCGAAUACCGGAGAAUGUUAUCACGGGAGACACACGGCGGGUGCUAACGUCGUCGUGAAGAGGGAAACAACCCAGACCGCCAGCUAAGGUCCCAAAGUCAUGGUUAAGUGGGAAACGAUGUGGGAAGGCCCAGACAGCCAGGAUGUUGGCUUAGAAGCAGCCAUCAUUUAAAGAAAGCGUAAUAGCUCACUGGUCGAGUCGGCCUGCGCGGAAGAUGUAACGGGGCUAAACCAUGCACCGAAGCUGCGGCAGCGACACUGUGUGUUGUUGGGUAGGGGAGCGUUCUGUAAGCCUGUGAAGGUGUGUCGUGAGGCAUGCUGGAGGUAUCAGAAGUGCGAAUGCUGACAUAAGUAACGAUAAAGCGGGUGAAAAGCCCGCUCGCCGGAAGACCAAGGGUUCCUGUCCAACGUUAAUCGGGGCAGGGUGAGUCGACCCCUAAGGCGAGGCCGAAAGGCGUAGUCGAUGGGAAACGGGUUAAUAUUCCCGUACUUGGUGUUACUGCGAAGGGGGGACGGAGAAGGCUAUGUUGGCCGGGCGACGGUUGUCCCGGUUUAAGCGUGUAGGUGUGUGUUCCAGGUAAAUCCGGUUCACUUUAACACUGAGGCGUGACGACGAGGCACUACGGUGCUGAAGCAACAAAUGCCCUGCUUCCAGGAAAAGCCUCUAAGCAUCAGGUAACAUCAAAUCGUACCCCAAACCGACACAGGUGGUCAGGUAGAAUACCAAGGCGCUUGAGAGAACUCGGGUGAAGGAACUAGGCAAAAUGGUGCCGUAACUUCGGGAGAAGGCACGCUGACACGUAGGUGAAGUGAUUUACUCAUGGAGCUGAAGUCAGUCGAAGAUACCAGCUGGCUGCAACUGUUUAUUAAAAACACAGCACUGUGCAAACACGAAAGUGGACGUAUACGGUGUGACGCCUGCCGGUGCCGGAAGGUUAAUUGAUGGGGUCAGCGCAAGCGAAGCUCCUGAUCGAAGCCCCGGUAAACGGCGGCCGUAACUAUAACGGUCCUAAGGUAGCGAAAUUCCUUUGUCGGGUAAGUUCCGACCUGCACGAAUGGCGUAAUGAUGGCCAGGCUGUCUCCACCCGAGACUCAGUGAAAUUGAACUCGCUGUGAAGAUGCAGUGUACCCGCGGCAAGACGGAAAGACCCCGUGAACCUUUACUAUAGCUUGACACUGAACAUUGAGCCUUGAUGUGUAGGAUAGGUGGGAGGCUUUGAAGUGUGGACGCCAGUCUGCAUGGAGCCGACCUUGAAAUACCACCCUUUAAUGUUUGAUGUUCUAACGUGGACCCGUUACCCGGGUUGCGGACAGUGUCUGGUGGGUAGUUUGACUGGGGCGGUCUCCUCCUAAAGAGUAACGGAGGAGCACGAAGGUUGGCUAAUCCUGGUCGGACAUCAGGAGGUUAGUGCAAUGGCAUAAGCCAGCUUGACUGCGAGCGUGACGGCGCGAGCAGGUGCGAAAGCAGGUCAUAGUGAUCCGGUGGUUCUGAAUGGAAGGGCCAUCGCUCAACGGAUAAAAGGUACUCCGGGAUAACAGGCUGAUACCGCCCAAGAGUUCAUAUCGACGGCGGUGUUUGGCACCUCGAUGUCGGCUCAUCACAUCCUGGGGCUGAAGUAGGUCCCAAGGGUAUGGCUGUUCGCCAUUUAAAGUGGUACGCGAGCUGGGUUUAGAACGUCGUGAGACAGUUCGGUCCCUAUCUGCCGUGGGCGCUGGAGAACUGAGGGGGCUGCUCCUAGUACGAGAGGACCGGAGUGGACGCAUCACUGGUGUUCGGGUUGUCAUGCCAAUGGCACUGCCCGGUAGCUAAAUGCGGAAGAGAUAAGUGCUGAAAGCAUCUAAGCACGAAACUUGCCCCGAG
rnacentral:rRNA from 1 species